AUUGAACGCUGGCGGCAGGCCUAACACAUGCAAGUCGAACGAGUGGCGGACGGGUGAGUAAUGUCUGGGAAACUGCCUGAUGGAGGGGGAUAACUACUGGAAACGGUAGCUAAUACCGCAUACCAUCGGAUGUGCCCAGAUGGGAUUAGCUAGUAGGUGGGGUAAAGGAUCACAUAGGCGACGAUCCCUAGCUGGUCUGAGAGGAGAAACAGCCAACCGGGAACUGAGACACGGUCCAGACUCCUACGUGAGGCAGUAGUGGGGAAUAUUGCACAAUGGGCGCAAGCCUGAUGCAGCCAUGCCGCGUGUAUGAAGAAGGCCUUAGGGUUGUAAAGUACUUUCAGCGGGGAGGCGUUACCCGCAGAAGAAGCACCGGCUAACUCCGUGCCAGCAGCCGCGGUAAUUC
rnacentral:rRNA from 1 species